rnacentral:lncRNA from 1 species
UUAGUCACAUUGCAAUUUCAGGCCUUUAAUAUGUUGAUGCUCGUACUGAAGAUGCCAUAAUUGCAAGUCAUCUAAUCUGAUAGCAGCAAGAACCAAAUCCUGCACACUUGAGGCUUGCAACAGGAACAUCUUAUUUUAAGUCGUGUUGACAUUGGUCAUCAUCUAGCCUGAUUUCUUGUUUCCAAUCACACAUACACCAUCCUUAAAUAAUAUUGAAUAACCUCCAUCCAUUAGUUUUUCAAUAUUUAAUGAAUUAUUUCCCAAAUUAGGUAUAAAAUUACACAUUAUGCAGGACUUUAACUUUACCAUUGCUAGUUUUAAGUAUCACAAUGCCUUUCCCCUCAACUUGAAUUUCUUUUCCAUUUCUAAGUUGAACCUUCACCUUCUUUGUUUCAUCAAGCUCUUUGAAUAAGGAUCUUAUGUCAAUUAUGCGAUCUAAAUAGCCAAUAUCUGCAAACCACUCAUUACUUGAAGUAUUAUUAAUAGCAAAAUGAGCCAUAAAAGCUUACUUUCUUCUAUGUUCUCUUAUGUAUAAUUUACUUGUUGAUCUUUAUACCAACAGUUAGCUUUUACAGGGUCAUAUCUCUUGUAAUGAUAGUACUGAAUGUCCUUCAUGUGUUUGUUUUGCUCUCCAGACUGCCUUUGUUGCCCAUUAGAUCGACCUCCACCUCUACCUGACCCCAGCCAUGGGCACGAAAUCCUCUUCUUCCUCGGCCUUUACUUGCUGAAGUUUCACCUUCUCCAGCUUUAUAAGUUGCCUCCACUUGAAAAGCUUGUUUUUCGAUCUUUCCAAGUGAUCAAUUAAUUUUAGCUCAUGUGUUUGCAAAGACCCCAUUAAAAUAUUGACAAAUCCUUUGAUGCUUCUGGCAAUAACUAAAUGGUCAAAUUGGAAGUCAAGCUUCUCAAUAUCUUUUCAAUAAUUGUUUGGUCAGCAACCUUCUCUCCAUAAAUCACAUUUGACUGACUAUUGUCAUGGUUAUGGACAAAAAAUUAGAAUCGAUUUCUCCAUUUCUCAUGACCAAGUUCUCAAAGUCACGUAGAAGUGAUUGCAAUUUCAUCACGAUCACCUUUGAAUCACCUUAAAACUCCUUAUACAGAAUCAACCAAGCCUACUUUGAUGUCUUUCCAUAAAUCACAUUGGAGUCUUUCCUCUUGUUGUCCCUUACUACGUUUUUUUUCAUCUGGAUCUGCAUAGCCAUGUUCUACGAAGUCCCAAAAAUCUUGAGAUUUGAGUAGAGUUAUCAUUCUUAUACUCCAAAACUUAUAACCUUCUCCCUUAAAAAUGGGAAUGAGUGGUUGUGCAGCAUUUAUUGAAUCACUAUUACUUGCCACGACUUUUUUGUUUCACUCACCUCACUUGUUUAUCUCCUUAUACUCACUCGAUAUUUUGGCUCUGAUGCUAAAACUGUUGCAACAAUUUGAGAAACAGAGUUUUAAGGAAGAGAGAUUCUGUAGAUCAAGUCCACACAAAAUUGCAGAAACUAGUUGCUACCCGCUACAUUAUUCCAGAACUGAACAUGCCUUUAUAUAGGCUUGCAACUAAACUAAAAGGCUAAAAUCCUCAUAUAAUCUCUACAAAUUCUGCCACUAAUAACAAAUUAACAAAAAUAGAAAAAUAAGGAAAAUUAUUCUACAUAAAAUUAUGAAAAUAUCAAUAAAAAAACUAUUCUGCAUAAAAUCAGUAAAUAUAUGCAACAUAUUUUUAACUAAUUCUUAAAUCAAUCUUUAACAUGUUCCAUGUAGUUGCAGCAACUUUGCAUCAACUGUGAGUUCAUCUAAGCCCCUUUCUUUAACAUAAACCUGAUAAUAUCUAACCUAGUUUUUAAAUAUUUAAGGAAAAAAAAAAAAGAAACAAGACAAAGAAUAAGAAAAAUAACUAAAGAAGAGGAGAUCAGCUGUUGAUGUUGAAGAAAAUGAUUGUCACCAUUGAGUAUUGAAGAAUAGGAAACAAUGUUUAUUUUGAAUGUCGAAUAUGAGAAAGAAGAUGUUAUUAAAGUAUAAAGAAGAGGAGAUACAUGGUUGCUAUUAAGUUUUGAAGAAAAGGAAGAGGUAUAAGAAGACGACGUCUAAGAAGAAAACGUACUGUUAAGAGGAAUAGGCAAUGGCUAAUGUUGAGAGGAAGAGGCAAUAGCUGAUAAUAAUAAAAGACACCAGUUAAAGAGGAAAAGGCGAAGACUAUUGAAAAGAAGAGAUAAAAGAGGAGAUUGAAAAUUA